rnacentral:lncRNA from 1 species
CACGACUAAAAUUAUUGGUCGGCGAUGAUUGUCACGGUGUAUUGGAACAACCCCCAAUUUCACAGUCUAAACUAUUAUUUCUAAUUCAGAGAGAGAAAGAGCGCGUGGAAAAAUAGUGCAAAUUUUUUUCUUGGCCAAAUACAUAGGCAGCCACCUUAACUUGUCAUGAUUGUUCAUUUAGACACCUCAACUAAAAAUGUUUCCUAUUAGACACUCAAAAGUGCCAUCAAAGUUAAUCUAUUGGACACAAAAUGCUAACGUGGCAAAUGUAGUGCUAUUCACCCACAUCUGAGCGCGUAAGCUAAUGUGGAUCUGUUGACCUAACUUUCUUUUACGGUUUAUUUCAUCCCUCAUCUUCAUCUUCUUAAACAAAAAUAUUACUGUUGCCAAACUCGUUCCUCUUCCAUUUUGCGCCCCUUUUUUCUUCAGCAAGUUACUACCUUUUGAUCAAGCCAAUGUAUUUCAUCCCAAAGAAUUUCUAAAUACAGAAGGGAGUAUUUUCACGUUUGUCUUUUCUCAUUUGCUAUGUACUUUUGCCUGUUCUUCACUUGAAA